rnacentral:rRNA from 1 species
AUUGAACGCUGGCGGCAGGCUUAACACAUGCAAGUCGAGCGGGGUGAUGGUGCUUGCACUAUCACUUAGCGGCGGACGGGUGAGUAAUGCUUAGGAAUCUGCCUAUUAGUGGGGGACAACAUCUCGAAAGGGAUGCUAAUACCGCAUACGUCCUACGGGAGAAAGCAGGGGAUCACUUGUGACCUUGCGCUAAUAGAUGAGCCUAAGUCGGAUUAGCUAGUUGGUGGGGUAAAGGCCUACCAAGGCGACGAUCUGUAGCAGGUCUGGGAGGAUGGUCCGCCACACUGGGACUGAGACACGGCCCAGACUCCUACGGGAGGCAGCAGUGGGGAAUAUUGGACAAUGGGGGGAACCCUGAUCCAGCCAUGCCGCGUGUGUGAAGAAGGCCUUAUGGUUGUAAAGCACUUUAAGCGAGGAGGAGGCUCUUUUGGUUAAUACCCAAGAUGAGUGGGCGUUACUCGCAGAAUAAGCACCGGCUAACUCUGUGCCAGCAGCCGCGGUAA